CCUGAAAUUCUCAGGAUCCACAUGCAGCUUGUCGCAAUGCAGCUCACUCAGCUUAGCAAAGGCACCCUUGAGGUUAUCAAGAUGCAGCAGCCCCUCAC